rnacentral:rRNA from 1 species
AGUGAACGCUGGCGGUAGGCCUAACACAUGCGAGUCGAACGGCAGCACAGUAAGAGCUUGCUCUUACGGGUGGCGAGUGGCGGACGGGUGAGGAAUACAUCGGAAUCUACUUUUUCGUGGGGGAUAACGUAGGGAAACUUACGCUAAUACCGCAUACGACCUACGGGUGAAAGCAGGGGAUCUUCGGACCUUGCGCGAUUGAAUGAGCCCAUGUCGGAUUAGCUAGUUGGCGGGGGAAAGGCCCACCAAGGCGACGAUCCGUAGCUGGUCUGAGAGGAGCGUCCGCCACACGGGAACUGAGACACGGCCCAGACACCUACGGGAGGCAGCAGUGGGGAAUAUUGGAGAAUGGGCGAAAGCCUGAUCCAGCCAUACCGCGGGGGUGAAGAAGGCCUUCGGGUUGUAGAGCCAUUUUGUUGGGAAAGAAAAGAAGCAGGUUAAUACCCCGCUGUUCUGACGGUACCCAAAGAAUAAGCACCGGCUAACUUCGUG